rnacentral:tRNA from 1 species
GGUGUCUCAGUGGUAGAGCACUUGCCUUGCAUGCAGGAGGCCCUGGGUUCAAUUCCUCAGCACCA